rnacentral:rRNA from 1 species
UACAGAGGUGGCAAGCGUUGUUCGGAAUUACUGGGCGUAAAGGGCGCGUAGGCGGUUCGAUAAGUCCCGUGUGAAAUCCCUCGGCUCAACUGAGGAACUGCACGGGAAACUGACGGGCUUGAGUUCGGGAGAGGGAAGCGGAAUUCCGGGUGUAGCGGUGAAAUGCGUAGAUAUCCGGAGGAACACCGGUGGCGAAGGCGGCUUCCUGGACCGACACUGACGCUGAGGCGCGAAAGCUAGGGGAGCGAAUGGG